UGCCGUAUAGCUUCUGGUCCAGCCCCACUGGGUAGGGCUUCUGCAUUCCAUGAUGAGCUCCGACUGGAUGCCACUGCCAGCAGUCCAAGGACUACGUGUUGAGUCGUAAGGAUGUAGGGUGCUGUUUCAGGCCAUCUGCUUCCAUACCUCUUGUCCCACUUACAGAUGCCUAAAAAUCCACCCUUACUAGACGGCGAGAGGAAAGGUCCAGCACAGCCAAGGUGAGAGAAUCAGUGAUGAACUCUUGGACAGGAUGGAACAAGUGAACAAGACUCAAGCAGCCCAACGCCAUACAGCUACCGCUGGGAUUCAUUUUCAAGUUUCUAAAGUACUUUUUUAUUCUGGAGAGAGAAGCCGAAAAUCCUGGGGGAAACAUGCUCGGCUUCGGAGAAGCCACAGGUCCUUUACAUGUCAGAAUAUAUUCAGCUUCUCGGGGAAAUGACACGCCAACGAAUUUUCACAUAGAAUUCAUCUUGGUGUGCCCACAAAGGCCAGCGGGCAGUACGCAGUUGUGAGAUUACUGAGAUUUCUUUUUCUUCCUUCAACAUUCCUUUUCCUGUGGUUUUAAUGAUGUUUAUACAACCAGACAUUCAGUUUAGGAGGCCGCAGCGUCUCUGAACUGUUUCUAUUGUGCAUUGUAUUGGUAGGGAUAGAAUAAGCUCAUUAUUCCCGUACAGUCAGGAGAGUGGGAAGUGAUUAAACCUUUUGAUAAGAAGAUAAAUGAUAGGAAAUCCGAGUGAAAGCCCGCACCGCCCGGAGUCAGAGUUUCCACAGGGAGCUUGCACAAAGCCUUCCUUCUGUGCAGGGUGCCCUGGGCAGCCUUCUCCUUCCAGCUGUGGUCCCACAUUGACUGUGACACUCUUACAGACCCACACCUGGGGCCGCAGUGCUUCCAGAGAGCAGGACCCUGGGCGUGGUCCGGCCGCCGGUGCUGCGCUCCCAUGAUACCCUUGUUCACUGCGGGCCCCCUGGUGCUUUCUGCUUGCAGAUGCCCCAGACUGGAUCUGGCUGGCACAGACCAGCACGCAAGAGCUCUUGGGAAUAGUUAUCUGAUGGACAGACUGGACAGACAGAUGGCUGGACAGAUGGAAGUUUAUCAAGCUUGAGAGAGGCCGUCAUGGAGGGCGUAGUCCUACGUCAGACGUAGGCAGGGACAGGUCAUUGACAAACCCGUUUCGAUCUUACAUCCCUUACUGCUCAGAGGUAUAAGCUUCCUCGUGGGUGAGGUCAGGGGAAGCCCACCAUCCUCAGGAAUUUUGUGGGCACACAAUGACUUAUUUAAAAAUGUGUUGACCAGGACGCCAGGGUGGCUCAGACAGUUCAGCGUCCAACUCUGGAUCUCAUCUCGGGCCUCCAUCUCGAGGUCGUGAGUUCGAGCCUGUGUCGGGCUCCACGCUGGGCAUUGAGUCUACUUUAAAAAAAAUAAUUAUAAAUAAAAAUUUAAAAAUAAAUACAUACAAUAAAAUUCAGUAAAAUAAAAAUGCAUGGACCAUCGAUGAUUUGCCCACAUCAGACCCCAUAGUGCACGUUCCCUGCGCCUGGGCGUUUCCAGCUCCCAGCUUCUUCUCCCUCCGUCCUGGGUCCUGGCAGAGUAGAGGCUGCCCUUCUUCCAUUCUGGAGUUCAGUAGCCACGAAGCCCAGGGUCUGUAGGAGAUGAGGGAAAGACCCAUCUGCUCGUGUCUGAGCCCACCUCCCCAGUGGGUCUGCCUUUCAGGUCAAGUACUACGUCCUUAGCGUUAGCGGCUCGCCCACGGCCAGCACAGAAGCCACUCCUGUCCUUGAAACUUCCGAAGUUUCGUGGAGCAGGGAUACAGAUUUUUAAAAGGUGAACUGGCAUUCCUCUAGAGGGGGGAAAAACCCAAGAAACAAAAAAAGUCUUCCCUUUUCUUUAUGUGUAAGUCAAUAAACCAAAUGAAAGAAAACCCCCAAACUUUGCACUAGUCACCCUAUUUAAGCUCUCGUUCUCUUGCGUGACCAAUGAAUAGCUUUGUCACUUCCAUGAGCCGUAUUCAGCUCUCUUCUUCGGAGUUAACUGGGACAGGUUGCCAGAGCUCCAGAGAACGUCCGAGAACACACGGGACCCUGUUGCCCACUCUGCUCACGUAAUCCUGCCUCAGGAGUUGAGGAAACCAGGGCUUUUGCUCGUGUCAGGCUAAAUGAGAGCACCGGUAAGUAUCUUGAGCAAUGCUAAUAAAAUGAGGCCAGUGAUUCCAUUUGCUGUCUCGUAUAUGAAAUGAUUUUGUUUAUACGGGUCUAUUUAUACCAGGUCCUUUACCUUGGCGUGCAUAAAGUGAGUUUCUAGAUGGCGAACUUCCCCUAUUUGUUGUGGUGAGAAAAUACAGAAUGAGGGACACGGCAAUAAACGGAAGAAGUUUCCGGUUUAGGAAUCGAAAGAUGGGCGUUCGGAUCCUGGCUUUUGCUAUUUACCUGCAGGCUCUGUAUCCAGAGUGGACACCUGACCCGUUUGCUGGCAUGGCCCCCCAUGUCCCUGUCUUCAAGGAGGAACAGCUCUUUCCCACCCAGGUACCGGGCUUUCCUGGGGGCUGAUCCCACAGCCCUGCCCUCAGGAGCACAGGGGCCAGGCCAGGAUAUUCAGAGUGAUGACGAGUAGCUCCAGACUGGACGUGCCAGGGUUGACGACUCUAGCAGACGUUCUAGAGGCCAUGGAGCACUUUGGGAAGUGCACUCAUUCUGGCUCCCACUCAGAAUAUUCAAGGACCAAAAAGAGGCAGCGUGUCUUCAAAUCUUGCCAACCCUGCGUCACGGGAGCGGUGGCCUCGCUGUCAUGGGGGCCGUCGGAGUCGUCCAGCAGGGCUGGUGGAUGGGCUGACUGCUCUCACCGGGGGAGACCUCCCAAAGCCUGCCGCCUUCAUCCUUGGUGUCCUGCUGUCACCAGAGAACGGGUACCCAGCACCCCAAAUGAGCUGAGCUCUGGUGGGGACACAGACCUGGGUCCCUAGACCCUCGGGUACUGUGAAAAGCGGUAGUUUUGGAACGAGAGGGACCCAGCCUUGAAGCGUGGGCCUGCUGCCCCCGGUGACUGGCCUUUGCAAGUCGCACUGCCUUUUAGCUUCAGCUUGC